AACGCUGGCGGCGUGCCUAAUACAUGCAAGUAGAACGCUGAAGAGAGGAGCUUGCUCUUCUUGGAUGAGUUGCGAACGGGUGAGUAACGCGUAGGUAACCUGCCUUGUAGCGGGGGAUAACUAUUGGAAACGAUAGCUAAUACCGCAUAACAAUGGGUGACACAUGUCAUUUAUUUGAAAGGGGCAAUUGCUCCACUACAAGAUGGACCUGCGUUGUAUUAGCUAGUAGGUGAGGUAACGGCUCACCUAGGCGACGAUACAUAGCCGACCUGAGAGGGUGAUCGGCCACACUGGGACUGAGACACGGCCCAGACUCCUACGGGAGGCAGCAGUAGGGAAUCUUCGGCAAUGGGGGCAACCCUGACCGAGCAACGCCGCGUGAGUGAAGAAGGUUUUCGGAUCGUAAAGCUCUGUUGUAAGUCAAGAACGAGUGUGAGAGUGGAAAGUUCACACUGUGACGGUAGCUUACCAGAAAGGGACGGCUAACUACGUGCCAGCAGCCGCGGUAAUACGUAGGUCCCGAGCGUUGUCCGGAUUUAUUGGGCGUAAAGCGAGCGCAGGCGGUUUGAUAAGUCUGAAGUUAAAGGCUGUGGCUCAACCAUAGUUCGCUUUGGAAACUGUCAAACUUGAGUGCAGAAGGGGAGAGUGGAAUUCCAUGUGUAGCGGUGAAAUGCGUAGAUAUAUGGAGGAACACCGGUGGCGAAAGCGGCUCUCUGGUCUGUAACUGACGCUGAGGCUCGAAAGCGUGGGGAGCGAACAGGAUUAGAUACCCUGGUAGUCCACGCCGUAAACGAUGAGUGCUAGGUGUUGGAUCCUUUCCGGGAUNUCAGUGCCGCAGCUAACGCAUUAAGCACUCCGCCUGGGAGUACGACCGCAAGGUU
rnacentral:rRNA from 1 species